GAGCUUAGUAGACAAAUUAUGGAUGUCUUAUUUGUUCACAAGGUCCUAAAUAAUAAUGUAGAUUGUAUUGACCUUAUAAAUUUCCUGAAAAUUCGUACUCCAAGCCACACUACUAGAAAUAAUUAUACUUUUGUUACGGACCAAGCAUGCACAAAUUACUUUUUAAAUUCACCUGCUCAUAGAAUGACAAAUACUUAUAAUAAAUUGUCUAGCGUUGUGGAUAUUGAUAUCUUCUUUCAUAAAGCGGAUAUGAUUAAAAAACUAUUGAAGAAUCACUUUCUUGAAACUUAGUCUUUUGGUGUAUUCAGUCUUGUUAUCGCUUAUUUUCUCAUUUUUUUUUUUCUUCUCUUUUGUUCAUACAUAUUAUAUCAUUUUCUCUAUUUAUGUUCAUACUUCAAUGAAUAUUUUUACUUUUAGUUUGUAGUUAUAUAUCAGUUUGUAAAAUUGUAAAUGUAUCUGAAAUUCUGUAGUGGAUACUUUUAUGGGUUUGUCCUGUCUGUAUCCCAAAUAAAA
rnacentral:lncRNA from 1 species